AGUACCAAAUUGAUCAGUGAAGAGUACGGAAGAAAGUGAUAUUGCGCAAUUUUCUGUGAUUUAUCUAAUCUAUCUUAUUGUGUUAAUUAGUGCAUUUUUGUUCCAUAUAAUCAAGUGAAAUUAUAAAUAAGUGGCUUCUGGAACACAUUGAACUUGAAAGUUUUUUAUUUGCCGAUAAUAUGGACAAUAAUUCAGUGGCAGAAGUGUUUUCUCUUCUAUGUGAAUGGGGGUUUCCAGUGGACAUUGCUCAGAGAUUUCUUGAUUUGGAAAUCGACGAAAGUGUUUAUAAAUUUAUGACGGAAAGCGACAUCAAGGAAAUAUUCUAAAACGGUCUAAAAAGUAAGCUAAAAUUUCUAGCUAAACUAGGCGAAUGGAGAAAGCCAAUGCAAGAGUCUGAAAAGAGUAAUUCAGAAGAUGUCCCUGUAAAUGUGCAACCAUCAUCGUCAACGAAACUGAAAAAGGACGAAAUUUUAGAAAUGAUUCUAAAGACUGAAUUCAAUACCGAAGAACUAGAAAAAUUAAAUUCUCUAAUUGAAAAACACCACACUGAAUACGUUAAGCUAUUUGGUUAUUUGAAAUCUAAGCAUAAUUUCUUUGUUCACUACAAAACUGUCUUACUAACAUCUUUAGAAAGUUUUAACUCAUUUUGAAUCUUCGUUUAGUUGCUAUCCAGAGUUUUGUGUGACAUGUCAGAGAAAAAGCAACAAAAAAUAUUUGUGCAAAAGAACUCAUUUCCAAUUUCAAGCAAAAUACCGAUUUAAAAUUAUCUGACUAAAAUAAAUUUAUUUUUUACUGAGAGAUAUGUCAUUCUAUUUUGUAAAUUUUAUUCAAAAAAAGUAAAAAUGUGAAUUUUAGAAGCAAAAAGAGUUUCAAAAAUUUUUUUAUAUUCUCUCACCUAGCGCCUAAGCUAAAAGAUACAAUGAAGAAUGGAUGGUUUUUCGACUUUAUUGGAUCAUAAUUAUCCUAGAAAACAUUUUCUUACAACUUUUUAAAAUAAAACAAGAACUGUGAUGUAUAAGACCGCAAAUAUGAACUCUGAAAAACUAAUGGAAAUGUAAAAAUAUUUGAGUAUAAAAAUAUGUGAUCGAAAAGAUAUUAAUUAAAAAAAAAAUGUAAAUGAUGUAAAUACUAUUCUAAAAAUCCUUCAAUUAAAAAUGAUUAUCAGAGAUACAAAA